rnacentral:rRNA from 1 species
GAUGAACGCUGGCGGCGUGCCUAAUACAUGCAAGUCGAGCGAACAGACGAGGAGCUUGCUCCUCUGACGUUAGCGGCGGACGGGUGAGUAACACGUGGAUAACCUACCUAUAAGACUGGGAUAACUUCGGGAAACCGGAGCUAAUACCGGAUAAUAUAUUGAACCGCAUGGUUCCAUAGUUAAAGACGGUUUUGCUGUCACUUAUAGAUGGAUCCGCGCCGCAUUAGCUAGUUGGUAAGGUAACGGCUCACCAAGGCAACGAUGCGUAGCCGACCUGAGAGGGUGAUCGGCCACCCUGGAACUGAGAAACGGUCGAGACUCCUACGGGAGGCAGCAGUAGGGAAUCUUACGCAAUGGGCGAAAGCCUGACGGAGCAACGCCGCGUGAGUGAUGAAGGUCUUCGGAUCGUAAAACUCUGUUAUUAGGGAAGAACAAAUGUGUAAGUAACUAUGCACGUCUUGACGGUACCUAAUCAGAAAGCCACGGCUAACUACGUG